CGGGGCAACAUGAUCAUCAGGUAUGUUCAUAAUUUCUUCGUAAUAUUCCGUUUUCACACGAGCCGUACAUUCCACACAUUUCAGAUCUAAUCUGUCGCGAUAUGUACAAAAAGUGAAAUUUGCUCAUUCGUAUUUGGCCUGGUUUAUUUUGAUCCUCACUUAAACUAGCAUUAACAAACAAACAAUGCAUUUCAAUGACAUUAAUGCAAUGAUCAUGGUUUUAUUAUUUAGUCAUCAGCGAGUUGCAGGUUAUGACAUAUAUCUGUUGUAGCCAUUAGCAUUAGCAUGUUGUAUUUUCUUCGUGGCAUGAUGCAUGUGCUGUUAUUUUUAUUGAUAGUAUUUUGAUUGACCGAGUCUUGCAAUGCAUUCAAGAUAUAAAAAAUUUUACCAGGAGGGUAAGAUGGGUGAAGAUGCUCCCUUAUGAACAUUUACUGUUAAGUCAUAUUACAGUUUAGCAUCUACAGAAUAAUUAGGCCUAUGCAGCAUACAGUAUCUUGUUAAGGGAAAUAAAUAUAAACAUUUGUUAAUUUAGUUGUAAAUGUGUGCAUUUUGAAAGUUCAGUGAACAUUUACAACCCAUUUAAUGUUUAUUUUAUAAAGAUUUUCAGCUUAACUUUACAAAUAAAAAUAAUAUUUUUUUCUAAGUCAAGGUUAAUAAGAGAGUUAUUAUUUGACAAGUGUUUAAAAAUUUAGUGAAGUCUAUGCAGGUUUUCAUUACUUGGAAGUAACGUUAGUAGUGUAAUUAUUGUGACACACAGUUUGUCGUUUGAAAUGUAGAUCAGGCAAAUUAACCACAAAAACCAAACCUGUGAUAUUCUAAGUUUUAAUGGCAGUGAGUGACUUUCCAUCGUACUUUUGGUUUGUUCAGCUGGUAAACAAACUUUGCCUAGCUAGAUCUUUUGAUAGUAUUGACAACACAGCUAGUAAGAGAGCUUUUCUAACCUGAAUGAUCACUGGUGAUCAGUUCUGUGCAUCUCAAACAAGCCUGUUGCCAAUGUCAAGCUAAACUGGCUAAGAUUAAGAAAGAUAAAAUUGUGUUUGUUUUUUUGUGUUUCUGCAGAUGCUGUUUCAUCUGUUUGUUUGCAGUGCUGAUAAACAAAGUGUCUCUGGAUGUCACAGUAGAGGCUGUUAUUGGUGGUUCUGUUAUCCUGCCGUGUUAUUCAGCUGAACAUGAUCUUAAACUUCAAGACAUUGAUGUGUUUUGGAGAGACAAAGACAGUGAGACUAUUUAUGAUUUAAUUAAAGGUACAGAUUCUUUAGAGACACAGGACCCACGGUAUAUGAACAGAGCGCAAACUUUCCCUGACGAGUAUGAGAGAGGAAAUUUCUCCAUCAAACUCAUCAAUCUCACUCAUGCUGAUGCAGGGGACUUCAUCUGCUAUAUCACACCUUCAGAUGAACAGGAGACUGUACACCUGAUCAUCAAAGAAUCAACAGAACAAGAAAAUCAUGGACCAGAAACACAAUUAAACUGGUGGAAGAUAUUACUAAUCUGUGUUUUUACAUUAUCUGUAUUCGUUUUUCCUAUAAUAGCCUAUUUCAUAUUUAAGCAGAGAAAAAUAACUCAAGCUCCCAUAUAGAAGGAACAGUGGCAAACUGAAGGUUUAAUUAAACUCACUUUCUCUCACUUUCUGACUUUAUUGCAACUUAAAUUACACUUUUAGCCAAGUUUGUACAACUUUCAUAGUGUCUUUCUGGAGGAAAAAAUAAAAAAUAAAACUUAAGGCAGCUUGCACCUCAAACGUUGGCAGUGUAUGUUUUCUGGCAUCCAUGGUAACAAAUGUUCACCAUCAGAAGUGUGAGUGGCAUGUCGUGCAAAAUCAAAUUUUAUGCUGCAGUUUUAAUGAAGCAUAUUUCAUUCUGCGCUCACCCUUGUAGUGUGAAACAUGCAUUACACCGUUUUGUGCCGUGUUUCUCUUGUUGACAGAGAAACACAGUGCUUGUUCUUAUUGUGUAACAAUAAGAUCAUGAAACACUCAAACAAACAUUUUUUUAGUUGUCAAUAUAUUUCAGCCUUAUUUCUGUACCACAAGUGUCCUUUCUUCAUGUUGUGUUUGCCAGAAAAAAAUGUGCUUUGUACUCUUAUGCAUUUCUUGUUGUUCAUAUUAUAAAAAUAUUUUAU